AUAAAUGCGAUGAAAAGAUGAGUAUCUAAUCCGCUUCAUUUACAGCGAGUCUAAUAUGGUGAAAGUAGACAUUGAAUGAUUUAGAGAAUAAAGACUUGGAGCAGCGUUUUGGAUUUAUUGAUAAAACGACGUGGUUUGCACGUUACAGCAAAGGAGUAUGAUAGUACUUGCUAAGGUAUAUAUUGUGAAAUAUAUAUAAAAUUAGGUGGUAACACGAAGUUGAACUCUUCGUCCUAAGU
rnacentral:ncRNA from 1 species